rnacentral:rRNA from 1 species
CCUGGGAACUGCGUUNUGAACUGGGUGACUAGAGUGUNUCAGAGGGAGGUAGAAUUCCACGUGUAGCAGUGAAAUGCGUAGAGAUGUGGAGGAAUACCGAUGGCGAAGGCAGCNUCCUGGGAUAACACUGACGUUCAUGCCCGAAAGCGUGGGUAGCAAACAGGAUUAGAUACCCUGGUAGUNCACGCCCUAAACGAUGUCGAUUAGCUGUUGGGCAGCAUGACUGCUUAGUAGCGAAGCUGACGCGUGAAAUCGACCGCCUGGGGAGUACGGUCGCAAGAUUAAAACUCAAAGGAAUUGACGGGGACCCGCACAAGCGGUGGAUGAUGUGGAUUAAUUCGAUGCAACGCGUAGAACCUUACCUGGUCUUGACAUGUACGGAACCCUCCAGAGACGGAGGAGUGCCUUCGGGAGCCGUAACACAGGUGCUGCAUGGCUGUCGUCAGCUCGUGUCGUGAGAUGUUGGGUUAAGUCCCGCAACGAGCGCAACCCUUGUCAUUAGUUGCCAUCAUUAAGUUGGGCACUCUAAUGAGACUGCCGGUGACAAGCCGGAGGAAGGUGGGGAUGACGUCAAGUCCUCAUGGCCCUUAUGACCAGGGCUUCACACGUCAUACAAUGGUCGGUACAGAGGGUAGCCAAGCCGCGAGGCGGAGCCAAUCUCACAAAACUGAUCGUAGUCCGGAUUGCAC